rnacentral:rRNA from 1 species
UAGCGUAUAUUAAAGUUGUUGCGGUAAAAAAGCUCGUAGUUGGAUUUCUGUUGAAGAGUAGCGGUCCAUACCACGUAUGCGUAUCUGCUUUACUCUUCGGCAUCCUCUCGAAACACGUUUCUGCGCUUGAUUGCGUGGUGCGGAGUUCGGGACUUUUACUUUGAGGAAAUUAGAGUGUUCACGGCAGGCUAUCGCCCGAAUACAUUAGCAUGGAAUAAUAAUAUAGGAUCUUGAUUCUAUUUUGUUGGUUUCUAGAAACAAGAUAAUGAUUAAUAGGGACAAUUGGGGGCAUUCGUAUCAAGAAGUC